GGGGGGGGGGGGGGGGGGGCGGGGGGGGGGCGGGGCGGAGGGGAGGGCCCUGCGUGUGUGGGGUGCUCGAGUGGCGAACGGGUGAGUAACACGUGGGCAACCUGCCCUUGACGUUGGGAUAACUUCAGGAAACUGGGGCUAAUACCGGAUAGGAGCUCCUGCUGCAUGGUGGGGGUUGGAAAGUUUCGGCGGUUGGGGAUGGACUCGCGGCUUAUCAGCUUGUUGGUGGGGUAGUGGCUUACCAAGGCUUUGACGGGUAGCCGGCCUGAGAGGGUGACCGGCCACAUUGGGACUGAGAUACGGCCCAGACUCCUACGGGAGGCAGCAGUGGGGAAUAUUGCACAAUGGGCGGAAGCCUGAUGCAGCAACGCCGCGUGCGGGAUGACGGCCUUCGGGUUGUAAACCGCUUUCGCCUGUGACGAAGCGUGAGUGACGGUAAUGGGUAAAGAAGCACCGGCUAACUACGUG
rnacentral:rRNA from 1 species